CCAUUACCACGGAAACUCUCAAACAUAAAGGCCAAGCCAAUGUUUCGGCCAUUGCCUUUGCCCAUCACCAUCUUCCCCAUGACCUUCGCCAGAAUUGAGCGUGGUUAGGGAGACCUAGCCAAACAUUUGGUAAAUUUCUGCCUGAGUCUGUGUGGAGGCUUUUUAUGGAUGAAAGAUGCAUGCUUCACAACCUCAUCACUGCUGGGCCUGGGUGGGAUGAUGUGAGUAGGAUGGAUGGAUGAUGCAGGAUGGAUGUUCAUGAGUCCAGCUUGGCAAGCACUGCAGCUUUCCUAUGUGAGCAAGACUCGAGCCGAUCAUGCUUCUGGUGUGCUCUAUGUUUCUAUCUCUGGUGUCAGAAGAGGGAACUGAAGGAGAUCCCCUGGUGGCCCCCUGAAGUGCUCCGUCAAUCUGUGCAAAUGUGUGUUUUGUGGAGUUAUCUUACUCCAGACAAGAUGUUCUUGGCUGAACUUCAGGACAUCCUGAUUCUGUUUACAGGUGAGGAAGGCCCAAAGUCUAGUGCCCUGGAGAGAAUGGGGGGCACAGAGUUAAUCAUCAUAGGACGUGUCAGACAAAAGCAAACAAGAAACUAG
rnacentral:lncRNA from 1 species